CAUUAGAGUUAUUACAACUCCUAAACCCCAUGUGAACAUACCUUGCGUUGCCUCGGCAGGCCGCGUCGUACCUCGCAGUGCCCUUUACGCUGUAAAGGCCUGCUUGGCGGGCGCGGGUCACCCUGCCGGCGGCUUAUAAAACUCUGUUUUAGCAUUGUACUUCUGAACACAUAACUAAAUCAGUUAAAACUUUCAACAACGGAUCUCUUGGUUCUGGCAUCGAUGAAGAACGCAGCGAAAUGCGAUAAGUAAUGUGAAUUGCAGAAUUCAGUGAAUCAUCGAAUCUUUGAACGCACAUUGCGCCCAUUAGUAUUCUAGUGGGCAUGCCUGUUCGAGCGUCAUUUCAACCCUUAAGCCCUCGUUGCUUAGUGUUGGGAGCCUACGGCCUGCCGUAGCUCCCCAAAGUUAGUGGCGGGGUCGGUUCGCACUCUAGACGUAGUAGAUUUCAUCCAUCUCGCCUGUAGUGUGUGCCGGUCCUCUGCCGUAAAACCCCCAUAUAUCAAAGGUUGACCUCGGAUCAGGUAGGAAUACCCGCUGAACUUAAGCAUAUCAAUA
rnacentral:rRNA from 1 species